AGAUGCGAUCUGGCUGGCUAUGGGGCCUGGGAGGGGGCCUUCACCGCGCUGAGCGACAGGAGGCCGGGUCCCCACCGCCUAAUCUCUGUCAUCCACCUGGGCAGGUCUGAGGCCCAGAGAAAGGGCCGCCGCCUGCCCCCUACACCCCCUGGGGUUCCCCGGACCCUCACAGGUGUUGUAGGCCUUCUUAUGGGACAGGAUCUCCACCACCUCCUUCUUCCGGAAGGGCUCCGGCCCCGGCACCGGUUCUGGAAAAGAAACUGACAGUUUACGAAGGCGGCUAGGCUGAGGCUGCAGUGGGAAGGCCCAGGGGUGGCGUGGUCACAGCCAACAGCCACUAUCCCCCUAAGCACGACCUCGACUUAAUCAGCUACACGUCCAUAGUCCCUUCAUUCCUCAGGUCAGGGACCUUCAGGUCCUGUGUGUAACCUCCCCCGCCCCGUGUCCUGUGCACUCCCCGUGCUGCAGGAAGCCAGGUCUUUCUGUUCCAUCCUGGGACCGCCUGUUCCACCCAUCAACGACAGGGAGAUACCCAGGAAGGGGUGAGGGCAAGAGAGCCUGGAAGAUGUAUUUGUGGAUGCCUCCUGUCUACGGUGUGACUGUCUCCUUGGAGAGCGGUGAGUUCACCAGGGCUGCCCUGGGCAGAGUGAGCUGGUGCUGGGAGAACUGCAACUGUGACAGCCUAGGGGCCAGACGCUGGACACGUGGCUGUGAUGAAUGGCGUAGAUGAGAGACCGCCACACCUCGCCUCACCCGCCUCCCUCCACACCUGCUUGCGUGCCCACCUCCUCGUAGUCGUUCUCAGGGGUCAGGAAAUCAUCCACGAUGGUGACCCGGGGGCCCAGCUGCUCGCUCAGCACGUCCAGGAAGCGGGCCCAGAGCCAGAGUCACGGAGCAUCUCGCACACCCAGCAAGCCCUGAGAUCACGGGAGGACCUCCCAGGGCUCCUGCCUUCUGAGCUGCAGAGCAACUGUCUUCCCAGCUGUGCCAUUCACAGGACAACGCGUGCACUUGAUCAUUUAUUCAAUAACCACUUGCUAACUCGGGGACUUCCUCAGAAUCAGGCAUCUGCCUUCUUUCUUUUUCUUUUUUAAGACAGGGUCUUACUCUGUUGCUUAUAGGCUAGAGUGCAGUGGUUCGAAAUAGCUCACUGCAGCCUUGAACUCCUGGGCUCAAGUGAUCCUCCCGCCUCAGCCUCUUGAGGAGUUGGGACUACAGGCAUAUGCAACCAUGCCCAGCUAAUUUUGUAUUUUUUUUGUUAGAGAUGGGGCCUCACUAUGUUGCCAGGCUAGUCUCAAACUCCUGGGCUCAAUUGAUCCUCCUGCCUCGGCCUCCCAAAGUGCUGGGAUUACAGGCACGACCCACGGUACCCAGGCUACUUUCUUGAUCCACAGCUGAGGUGAGGGUCACAGGGCCAUGGGAGGGACUGGGACAACCCUGACCCUGAUGGAGCAGAGAAGCAGCUCCAGGGCUGAGCCUGGGGUGGAGGGAAACACCCAGACAGUAGAUGACAGAGGCUGGAGCCCUACCUGUGGU